GUCAAGAUAGCCGAGCGGUUAAAGGCGAGCCACGCACAGCUGCGAUGCAUUAAGGUUCUGGGUUCGAUUCCCGGUCUAGGCC
rnacentral:tRNA from 1 species